rnacentral:misc_RNA from 1 species
CCCUUUUUAUUUAUUUAUUUUUUCUUCUUUUCCAAGGAGCUUUCAGAUGCAGCAUCACCAAAUAGUUUAGCCAUUGAUUUUUAUUUUAAUCUUGUAAACUAUUGCAUAUAUAUAAAGGUUUUUUCCUUAAUGAUAUAUACACACAAUUUAGUUGUUGCAACAAAUGUUGCGUUCAUCUGUUGUGCAGAAUUGGAUUGUUUUUGCCUCAAGCAUAUAUUAUAUGUUUCAUUUUGAUGUGGUGUUUCUAGAAUUUUUUUAUAUAAUUUGCUUCAUGAUGGCAUGCUUCACUAGCAUGCAGCAUCAGAUUUUUCCAAUGAAAUCUCUUAUUGUUGAUAUCCUUUAUUCUUCUGUCUUGUAAUUAGACCCUUCACUUCUUUUGAGGAUCAACAAUCUGAAUUGCUAGUUUAACAGUUGUACAAAAGACCUUAACUUUGUCAUUCUUGAAUGUAGUAGUUGUGAAGAAUAUUCUUCAAGUGUUAUCUUUUAUGUCAAUUAGUCCAGAAUAUAGUUAGUCCAAAUAAGAUCAUUAAUGAAAAUAUAUAGUUCAGCUGAAAAAAAUGGAAAUUCAUUUGUAUUGUUGAACUAUACGGAAAACUUUUAUGAAUCUAAGGGAAUUGUUAGAAGGAACAUAAGUGGAAUGAAUCUACCUCUACUAG